CUGACUGCACCUGCAUCCUUAGCUCAGAGCAUCCCUGGAGCAUCUAAGAGGAAAGCGCAGCUAGCAACCAGGGAUCGUACUGCAGGGGCAAUCGGUCAUGCACCUUCCCCUCCCCUGAUCUGGAGGUCUACAGCCGCGGCCUCGGUACUGACCGAGAUUCCCAAAGUUGUCUGACCUCUGCAAAAGUGUUUCUAUCAACAGCCUCUGAUUACAACAUGGCUGAGAUCACAAAUAUACGCCCCAGCUUUGAUAAAAAAACAUUACACUUUGGUUAUUCGCUCUGGAUGCCAGUGAGAUGUCUCAAUAGACAAACCUGCCCCUGAGCCUGCUGAUGGCCUGAACUUACUUCCUGGGACCCACAUGGUAGAGGGAGAAACAACAGCCAAAGCUGUCCGGUGUACUAUGGCCACGAACAUGAAGUUCUCUCAAGGUCGUAGCAAACAGACGGUCCUAUGGCCCACGGUUCCAACAGGAAGUAGGACAGCCACCUCUGACUUUACCACACUGCUCACUUCUGGCUUCAGUGCUAAGCCAAGAAAUAAUGCAAAUACAGACAAAGAGAGAAGCCUUGCCUGCUGCAUCUGCUGCUGAAGCCUGCUCCUCUGUGCUGGGUCGAGGACCAGAGUCUGAUGGGCUGCCUCCUCCUGCGGUUUCAGCUUCUCCACCUCAGGCUGCUGUCUGACUGAGGGUUUCUUCAUCUUCAGCUGCUCCAGCAGCUCCUUCACUGUCCGGUGCCGCUCAUUUAGUAAGUUGGCCAACGGCUCCUCAAACCUGUUCCCAACAAGGAUAGAACAUGCAUUUUCUCCUAGGUCCACAAAACAGCAAAUUCCUUGUAACAACAAAACAUGAACAUCUGUUUUACUUUGAUCAUGAUGGCUCACUAUUCUUGACCCUUAAGCAAAUAUUUCCCUUGACUGUUAGCACUGUAUUCAAAUAAAAGAAGUCUGGUGUUAGAGGAUAGUUUGAGCUCAUAUCUAGAAUGCUUGAAGCCCUGGGUCAAUCUCCAACUAUUCCAAAGAAUAUUCUGAAAUGUUUUCCACCUUACUGUAACACAAUUACUUCUCUGUAUAAAACACACAGAGAAAAGAAAUGAAAUGAAAAUCUAGAAGCAGAGAAACAACAGUGUAGUACAAUGCCACAGGCUAGUGGGACUUCAUCAUCCUUGCAUUGUACUAACACAUACUACUUUAUGAGUUCUUCCAAAUUGAAGGGACUCUAGCUAGCUCCAGUGUGACAAGCAUGGCUCCGGCAGGCCUUGCCCCUCUCUCCCAUUCCUUCCAGCUUGCUAACAACCAUUAGAGCUAGCCAGCAAGGUUGAUUCCUUUACUUGGCUACUUCCUCCUCUUGAGGCUGACAAAGUAUUUAAGUCCAGCAAUCAAAAAGUUCCCUUUAGGUCACCUAAUUAAGAUGCCCACUUAAAAUUAAAACACCUCAUCCUAACACAGGCUUUUCCCUUGUACCUUUAUAAACCACAACUUGCCUAUGGACCCUGUCUGUCUCCUCUCAAUUCAGAGGCAGUCCUUUGUCUUCUGGGAGAAAGACUCCUCCCACUUUUCCCCUGUACCCUUCCCCUUCUCAGCUAUCCUCUAUCUCCUGUCUUUGACCUUUAUCCCUGCUCUCUGUCUCUCUGGGGCAAAUAAAUCUCCUUUGUGCUGAGAA
rnacentral:lncRNA from 1 species